rnacentral:rRNA from 1 species
AGAGGGUGAAACUCCCGUCCGCCUGGUAGAAUGAGUCUUUGUCAACGAGUCGAGUUGUUUGGGGAUUGCAGCUCUAAUUUGGUGGUAAAUUCCAUCUAAAGCUAAAUAUUGGUGGGAGACCGAUAGCGUACAAGUACCGUGAGGGAAAGAUGCAAAGAACUUUGAAAAGAGAGUUAAAGAGGUACCUGAAAUUGCUGAAACGGAAGCGAAGGAAACCAGUGUUUGUUGGUUCAUAUUUCCUUGGCCACUUGCGGUUUGGGCGCUGUGGGCUUGCGUGAGUUUGGGUUGGUUGAUUCCUUUGGAAGAGCGCAGUCAGAGUUGAUGUCU